CAAACGUUUUCGAAGAGUUGGAUCUCCUGCUGUCCUCCUUCCCGGAGGAUGGUAGGCCACUUGUGGUUCUUGAUGAUUUCAGUAUACACCAAUACAAGACCCAGGGCACUGAACUUCAUGCCCUUCUGACCUCAUUUGACUUGGCAACUCACAGAUUGGGCCAGCACGUACUACACCACACAGCCCCUGGCUCUCUGACGUCCUUCAUGAACAUCGGACUGACCUCAGGGCAGCUGAGAGGAGAUGGCAGAAAUCUAAAGAUCCAGCAGAUGUAGACCACAUCUCAAAGACUGCAAGAUCAUGUAGAUUUACACUCUACAAUAUCAGGACGAUAAGACCCUUCCUCUCUGAACAUGCCAUACAACUUUUUGUUCAGUCACUUGUCAUAACUAGACUGGACUACUGUAACACUCUCAUUGUGGGCCUCCCUGCAUGUGCAAUUAGACCCCUGCAAAUGAUCCAGAAUGCAGCAGCAUGCUUGGUCUUUAAUGAACCAAAGAGAGCGCAUGUUACACCACUCCUUGUCUCUCUUCACUGGCUGCCGAUUGAUGCACAUAUCAGAUUCAAGGCUCUGAUGCUGGCAUAUACAGAACAGUCACUGGGUCUGCUCCAGCAUACCUAAAAUCAUUUCUGCAGAGCUACACACCCACUAGAAGCCUGCGGUCGGCUAAGGAACGUCGCCUUAUUGUACCAACACAAAGAGGCACCAAACACUUUCCCGGACAUUCGGCUUCAUCGUACCACAUUGGUGGAAUGACCUUCCCAACUCCAUCCAUGAAGCUGAAGCUUCUGUCUUCAAAAAAUUCUUGUUGCACUUUAAUCUGUUUUGAAUACUACUUUGUAAUAUGGCACUUUUUCGUACCACUUUCUCCUUAAGAUGAUUCGCCUAUGUGUUCCGCUUUGGAUAAAAGCAUCUGCCAAAUGAAUAAAUGUAAAUGUAAAUGUGUACGUAUGUGUGUGUAAACUGAAAAGUUUUGAAAGUUUUUGCACAUAGUCCAUUUUCAUGAUAUAAAAUUAGGUAAAAUCUACUUUCAUACAAUAAUAUUGAUAAAGUGAAUGAGUAACUUUAACUUUUCAUUUCAGUUAGUACAGUAGCUUUUACUC